GCGUGAGUGAUGAAGGCCUUAGGGUUGUAAAGCUCUUUCGGGUGGGACGAUGAUGACGGUACCACCAGAAGAAGCCCCGGCUAACUUCGUGCCAGCAGCCGCGGUAAUACGAAGGGGGCUAGCGUUGUUCGGAAUUACUGGGCGUAAAGCGCACGCAGGCGGCGCGUUAAAUUAGGAGUGAAAGCCCUGGGCUUAACCCGGGAAAUGCUCUUAAGACUGGCGCGCUUGAAUCCGGAAGAGGGCAGUGGAAUUCCAAGUGUAGAGGUGAAAUUCGU
rnacentral:rRNA from 1 species